AGAGUUUGAUCCUGGCUCAGAACGAACGCUGGCGGCAGGCUUAACACAUGCAAGUCGAACGCCCCGCAAGGGGAGUGGCAGACGGGUGAGUAACGCGUGGGAACAUACCCUCCGGUUCGGAAUAGCUCAGGGAAACUUGGAUUAAUACCGGAUACGGCCUACGGGCGAAAGAUUUAUCGCCGGAGGAUUGGCCCGCGUUC
rnacentral:rRNA from 1 species